CCUGUGAGGGUUGCUGGAGGUAUCAGAAGUGCGAAUGCUGACAUAAGUAACGAUAAAGCGGGUGAAAAACCCGCUCGCCGGAAGACCAAGGGUUCCUGUCCAACGUUAAUCGGGGCAGGGUGAGUCGACCCCUAAGGCGAGGCCGAAAGGCGUAGUCGAUGGGAAACAGGUUAAUAUUCCUGUACUCGGUGUUACUGCGAAGGGGGGACGGAGAAGGCUAGGCUAUCCGGGCGACGGUUGUCCCGGUUUAAGCGUGUAGGGGGUGUGACUUGGUAAAUCCGGUCGCAUAUCAACCCUGAGGCGUGAUGACGAGUCACUACGGUGAUGAAGUAGUUGAUGCCAAGCUUCCAGGAAAAGCCUCUAAGCUCUAGGUAACAUUGAAUCGUACCCCAAACCGACACAGGUGGUCAGGUAGAGAAUACCAAGGCGCUUGAGAGAACUCGGGUGAAGGAACUAGGCAAAAUGGUGCCGUAACUUCGGGAGAAGGCACGCUGGCGCGUAGGUGAAGUCCCUUGCGGAUGGAGCUGAAGCCAGUCGAAGAUACCAGCUGGCUGCAACUGUUUAAUAAAAACACAGCACUGUGCAAACACGAAAGUGGACGUAUACGGUGUGACGCCUGCCCGGUGCUGGAAGGUUAAUUGAUGGGGUCAGCCGCAAGGCGAAGCUCUUGAUCGAAGCCCCAGUAAACGGCGGCCGUAACUAUAACGGUCCUAAGGUAGCGAAAUUCCUUGUCGGGUAAGUUCCGACCUGCACGAAUGGCGUAAUGAUGGCCAGGCUGUCUCCACCCGAGACUCAGUGAAAUUGAACUCGCUGUGAAGAUGCAGUGUACCCGCGGCAAGACGGAAAGACCCCGUGAACCUUUACUAUAGCUUGACACUGAACAUUGAGCCUUGAUGUGUAGGAUAGGUGGGAGGCUUUGAAGUGUGGACGCCAGUCUGCAUGGAGCCAACCUUGAAAUACCACCCUUUAAUGUUUGAUGUUCUAACUCCGGUCCCUAAUCGGGAUUGAGGACAGUGUCUGGUGGGUAGUUUGACUGGGGCGGUCUCCUCCUAAAGAGUAACGGAGGAGCACGAAGGUUAGCUAAUCACGGUCGGACAUCGUGAGGUUAGUGCAAUGGCAUAAGCUAGCUUGACUGCGAGAGUGACGGCUCGAGCAGGUACGAAAGUAGGUCAUAGUGAUCCGGUGGUUCUGAAUGGAAGGGCCAUCGCUCAACGGAUAAAAGGUACUCCGGGGAUAACAGGCUGAUACCGCCCAAGAGUUCAUAUCGACGGCGGUGUUUGGCACCUCGAUGUCGGCUCAUCACAUCCUGGGGCUGAAGUAGGUCCCAAGGGUAUGGCUGUUCGCCAUUUAAAGUGGUACGCGAGCUGGGUUUAGAACGUCGUGAGACAGUUCGGUCCCUAUCUGCCGUGGGCGUUGGAAGAUUGAGAGGGGCUGCUCCUAGUACGAGAGGACCGGAGUGGACGCAUCACUGGUGUUCGGGUUGUCAUGCCAAUGGCAUUGCCCGGUAGCUAAAUGCGGAAAAGAUAAGCGCUGAAAGCAUCUAAGCGCGAAACUUGCCUCGAGAUGAGUCUUCCCUGAGACCUUGAGUCUCCUAAAGGAACGUUUAAGACUAAGACGUUGAUAGGCUGGGUGUGUAAGCGUAGCGAUACGUUGAGCUAACCAGUACUAAUGAUCCGUGAGGCUUAACCUUACAACACCGAAGGUGUUU
rnacentral:rRNA from 1 species